CCUCUCUAGGGGCAGGAUCUUGACUGCGUGCCAGCAAGCGCUCAUACAAAGCCAAGACAGCCAUCCAAAAACAGAGCCGCUUUUCUUGUUUCCAGAGCACCACGUAGCUCAUACUCAUGCUGCUGCAGCCCUCAGGGCAGCACUGCCUCACACAACAAAGCCAGCCUUGGUUCCCCCUGGAUUCUCUGAUGCAUUCCUCCUGUUCUUCCCAUCUGUGUGAGCAGCGUUCAGAAUGAUUUUGUGCUCUCUGGAUAUGAUUAUCCUUGUCACACCAAUCUGGAAAACAUCUGUGUGCACAUUAGCGCAUACCUACGUACACACACUGGCGUGAGUAGAGACAUGGAGGAGGAGAAGUGGGUGCACACUUACAGCUCUAGUCACGCAAUGAUGUGUGCGCAAACCUCCAGCAACUUUUCAACCCCGGCACACAAGAAAGCCAUCAAGUACCUGCAAUUGACAGAAUCGCGUGCAAUUCAGGUACUCUAGGAUUGUACUGGAGCAUGGCCAAAUGGAGAGUAAAGGAAAAGGUGGAGUGGAGCUUCACCUGCUCAAAGUGCAAUACACACCUGUGAUUGGAGAUCAGUAAUGGUGGUGUAGUGGACGGUAGAGCCACGUUAACUCAUUCAUUACAUUACACAUAAUAUUUUAUGGCAGAAAUUCAAAAGAUCUAAAUUUCUACAUGCAUAUAAAUGAUAGAAUAAUAAAAUGUAGUUUGUUGUAAGUUCUAUGGGGGGAAUUUGGUUUUCUAAAAAUAUGUUUACCCACUUUACCAACAUAUAUUAUGUCUUCUUUUUGAUCACUUUCAGCCAUACUAUAUCAAAGUGAAUGCCAUAAUCCACAUAGUCAAAUACAGUAUAUUCACCAUGAUUUUAUCAUAGUGGGAUUUAAAAUGACAUACAUAAUCAGUACCUAUUUCAAAUGAUUUUAUUCACAGGAAAUUCAAAUUGUCUCUUUAAACAGUCUAACACACGACAAACUAAAUGAUGGAAAAUAUCACAUUGGGGUUUUUGUUCUGAGUAAAACGUUGAUUUAACUUGAGUUUAAAUCAACCGUUUUAGUAUUAUUUUCUAAUUUUAGUCUUCGAGGCUGCACUCCGUUCCAGGUAAUCCAUUCCUUGUUUUGACCUUUAAAGGAAGCUAUGAUCCCAGAAAUACAAGCAAGCCUGGAGGUGGUUAGGACAUGAAAGUGAGGUAAGAAAGACAAGAGAUUCAUUCAUGGGAAGGUGAUUCAAGGCACCGGCAUCCCUGUAUCUGUGCACAGCCACAGAUGAUCAUUAUUACUCACUUGCACUACUUAGACAGGGCUCACACGCAACCUGAGAUCAAACUGACAGAUGAUGAGUGAUUGCAACAAGAUUAUAACAGCCUAUAGUCAUGAUAUAAUAACUUAUUUAAUUUGACUGUUACAGAUACUACUACUAAUAAUAAUAAUAAUAGGCAUUAUCAUCAAAACUCAGAUGAGGUAGUGCCAGUAGCACUUUUUAUUAACAGGGUUGAUUUAAUGUAAGUUAAAUUUCCAGUAACAGGCAAACAUGUUAUACCUUCCAAUGUCAGCUAAAUGAAUUAUACAGUACUUUCAGUUAUACUUUACUGCCACUAUGUUAUAUUAUGUUAAAGGUUCUAAUCUGAUAACAUUCUCCUCUUCUCAAAUAUUUGGCAGCAACAACAAUAAACUCCACAUACCAUCAUGCCUUGCGCGCCUACGUUGGCUGAGAGCAGCAUGUGCUGCGCUGCUCUGCUCCAACUAUGGCUCAGUGUGGUUCAGGCUCUUCACAGGAGCACAUCGUGUCAGCGACAGAGACGCUAGUUGGAGCUGCAGCAGAGACCAUCACUGCACUGGACUUGAAAGAGGAACCAGCUUCUUUUAUUCAUUAGUGGAAAUAAUUACACUGAUCGAUCUGAUUAAUUUGCUAAAGCAUUCAGUUUACGCAAGGAUUCUUUGGACGCAUUAAGAGGAUUAACUUUUACAGCACUGACACACGUGGAGGAGUUAUUAUUAUUAUCAUCAUUAUUAUUAUUAUUAUUAUUAUUAUUAUUAUUGGUAAAACUUGAUGAUGGCCACAGCUGAUGGUUUCAGCACACCAGCUGUGAAUCGUCCUGUAGGAUACAAGGAAAUACUGUCUCUUACACGGGAUGAGUGGUGUCCGUCACUCCUUCUGCCCAAGUCCUUCUGCUGGACAAGCCGCUUGUCGGACAGACGAGUCUCUUGGGAUAUUUCAGGCGUGUGGCCAGUGUGAUAGACGGCCAAUACCGUGACAUGGUUUUGGAAAUCAAUAUUUGUUGUGGUGGAUUUUGGCACAAGGAAAGGAAUAUCCUGGAAUAUCUUUUGAAAGCGGUGCUCACCCGAUGUCCAACAAUUUGGAUAAUGACAGUACGCAUCUCCCCAUCCAGCAGUGAAGGAAUUCAAAUUCUUGGAAUGAGAUGUCAACCUUUAAUUGCUUCCCAGGGAACUUCUGAUGAUCUCAGGUGAGCACUGAGAAGAGGCUGAGUAAUGGAAACAUGAUCUCAAGAGAUUCAACAGGAUCAUACUAAAUCCUGGUUUGGACUGUGGACCAGCAUCCCCUGCAGCAGAUGUUAGCUCCUGGCAUGGCUGCGAACAGCAUGAGCUCCAUCACUGACAAUCUCGUUCUCAGGAUCCAGCGCCAGCAGCUUGGACUUGGAGAAGCUGUGACAUAAACUCAGCGGGACAGUGGAGUGUAUUCUGCUGCUCAGACAUUAUGGAACAGAUCAGUCAACCCUGUCUGGAGAGGUGCUCGGUAGGAAAGUCAACUCGAUGAAUGUGCAUUUACCGUAGUUACCACAAUGGAUCUACACAUUGUUUGACUUUUUCUAAAUUGAACCUGGAUUAAUAUUUUCCCAUAUAUACAUCUGCUUUUGAUUUUCAGUGUUUUUUCACGCUGUUGCUCAUACACUGCAGUUGUGACAUAUACUGUGUUAUUCUGGAUACAGUAUCAACAAGCGCUGGAACUGUAAAUGGAAAAUAAUCAGAUGAUAUUUUCAUUUUUAGUUCUAUUUUUACAGACUGACGGCAGCACUUACACCAGUGCAGUCACAUACAAAGUUUAUCUGGUGAAGAGCACAAGAAAUGUUUCUUAUUGUAGAAAAUUAAUUAAUACACAUGUGAUCAAGAUUCUUCAGAAGGAUUACUCAUUGGAAACGGAAUGUUAUCAUUUGACAUCUUAGAAUUGCUAUCACAAAGAUCAUUGAUUAUUAUAAUCAAGGUGCUGAUGAACGCAAAUACAAAACUUUUAUACUGACAGUGCAUUUCACUGACACAUUGGCAGCCUGUGUUAAUAUUGGUUAAUAAACCUGUCAAGCUGUUUAUUCUCAUGAUGAUUUAUAGCUCCACAACUUUUGUUGUGUCUGUUAAACCCUGUUGGCAGAAAUAAAAAAGAAGUGUAUCCAA